rnacentral:rRNA from 1 species
CAGCCGCCACGGUAAUACGGAGGGUGCAAGCGUUAAUCGGAAUGACUGGGCGUAAAGGGCGCGUAGGCGGCGAUCAAAGUCAGGCGUGAAAUUCCUGGGCUCAACCUGGGGGCUGCGCUUGAUACUUGGUUGCUUGAGUGGGGAAGAGGGUCGUGGAAUUCCCAGUGUAGAGGUGAAAUUCGUAGAUAUUGGGAAGAACACCGGUGGCGAAGGCGGCGACCUGGUCCUUGACUGACGCUGAGGCGCGAAAGCGUGGGGAGCAAACAGGAUUAGAUACCCCGGUAGUCCCUGUCUCUUAUAC